GAUGAACGCUAGCGGCAGGCCUAAUACAUGCAAGUCGAACGAGAUUAAGAGGCUUGCUUCUUAUGAAAGUGGCGCACGGGUGCGUAACGCGUAUGCAACCUACCUUAAUCAGGGGGAUAGCCCGAAGAAAUUCGGAUUAAGACCGCAUAAAAACACAGGAUAGCAUUAUCCAAUGUUCAAAUAUUUAUAGGAUUAAGAUGGGCAUGCGUGUCAUUAGCUAGUUGGCGGGGUAACGGCCCACCAAGGCGACGAUGACUAGGGGAUCUGAGAGGAUGACCCCCCCCAACUGGACCUAGGCACCGACCCGAACUCUACGGGAGGCAGCCGUAAGGAAUAUUGGGCCAUGGAGGGAACCCCUGACCCGCCACGCCGGGUGCAAGAAGACCGCCCUCUGGGUCGUAAACUGCUUUUAUUCGGGAAUAAACCUUUCUACGUGUAGGAAGCUGAAUGUACCGAAGGAAUAAGGAUCGGCUAACUCCGUG
rnacentral:rRNA from 1 species